UUGUGUGUUUUGGCCUUAAGGGCACUUUGGUCAUUUGACCUUUAUUUUCUAUGAUGGAUAAAGAUGAAUUUCUUUAAAAAAAAAAUGGAUUAAUUUCUGGUGUUAUUCCUCUCUCUUACCCGACCCUCUCUCCCUCUCUUGCUCUCUUGAUUUUCAAUUUUAAGGAUUGAAGAAAAGUGCUUGAUGUUUGGUGGUUUUGGAGCUUGAUAAUUGUAGAACUUUGAGCUUACUCUUGGUUUGAGUUUGAGGAUUACCGGCACCUGGUCAGGAGCACCCGGGGAUUUGGAAUCUCUACUAUUGCGGGACAACAGGAAAGGGUAAGGCAUUAGCUGAUCAGCCAUGAGUUUCAGGAGCAGGGCGAAGAAUGUACAUGUUCAUGCCACUUCAGACCAAGCGGGUUAUGGGUCUAACAGUG